ACGAGUUAACAAUUUUUAACACAUGCUCAUUUUUAUUUCUGUAUGAGAGUCGUGAUUUUUACCUUUUUUGGGAAAAUUAUCCUUCAACACUUCCUACUGCUGUCAAGUAACUCAGUCUGGUAUUCCAGGUUCCAGAUUUUACUGCAUUUUUGUGGAAAACCUCCAAAAUGGUUAAAAGAGGGGGAAAAGUGAAAUUAUGAUUCACGAAACAGAGUCAGGUUAACUUUUUCAGCAGAGAAGUGCAUUUCAUGGUGGCUGAAGCCCUGGCAACUCCAAGAGGAACUCUAUGUCAGAAAUUGGCUUUAUUGGAGACAUUCAGAGCCUGAUUGGAACUAUUUUCAAGGCCUUCUUCUUUCCUAAGCUAAAAUGGAACUAUGUACUCAGAGGGCUAUUUGGAAAUACACCGGCAAGAAUAAGGCUUCUUCACAAAUAUUAGUAACUUGAUCCAUCUGCCAGAAACACACUUUGGAUCCAAAUUUUUUUUUUCUUCAAUAAUGAGUUUAAAAUUCUUGUACCUGUCUCAUGGCUAAAAUUUAAAAAUAAAAGUUAUAAGAUCUCUG